ACUCUCGGCAACGGAUAUCUCGGCUCUCGCAUCGAUGAAGAACGUAGCAAAAUGCGAUACUUGGUGUGAAUUGCAGAAUCCCGUGAAUCAUCGAGUCUUUGAACGCAAGUUGCGCCCGAGGCCAUUAGGCUGAGGGCACGUCUGCCUGGGCGUCACGC
rnacentral:rRNA from 2 species